AGAUGUUGGCACUGCAGCUGAUGAUCUUCUAUAUGAUCUUUGGACUCGGGCCGGCAGGUGACUGAGGGAGUUGCUACCAUGCUCGCCAGAAUCCCUUCAAUUCUUCAUCUGUAAAUUAAUUCUCUUUCAUAGUUUCAUGACAAAUAAAUUAAAAAUAAAGAUAAACCAAUUUGGAAGACAAUCAAAACGAAACAAGGAAAGGACCAUAAAAGACAAAAUGAACUAAAAAUUCUAUAAAUUUACUUUCUUACAAGAGUGAAAGUGUUGUUUCAACAUAUAAGUGCAUGCAUAUGAAAUAAGAGAGAAAUAAUU
rnacentral:lncRNA from 1 species